rnacentral:snoRNA from 1 species
GAUCCUUUUGUGGUUCAUGAGCAUGAUGAUUGGGUGUUCACACGUUUGUGUGAGAUGUGCCACCCUACAACCUUGUUACGACGUCGGCACAUUCCCCAUCUGACCUGA